AUCGAUGAAGAACGCAGCGAAAUGCGAUAAGUAAUGUGAAUUGCAGAAUUCAGUGAAUCAUCGAAUCUUUGAACGCACAUUGCGCCCCCUGGUAUUCCGGGGGGCAUGCCUGUUCGAGCGUCAUUUCACCACUCAAGCCUCGCUUGGUAUUGGGCAACGCGGUCCGCCGCGUGCCUCAAAUCGACCGGCUGGGUCUUCUGUCCCCUAAGCGUUGUGGAAACUAUUCGCUAAAGGGUGUUCGGGAGGCUACGCCGUAAAACAACCCCAUUUCUAAGGUUGACCUCGGAUCAGGUAGGGAUACCCGCUGAACUUAAGCAUAUCAAUAAGCGGAGGAAAAGAAACCAACAGGGAUUGCUCUAGUAACGGCGAGUGAAGCAGCAAUAGCUCAAAUUUGAAAUCUGGCGUCUUCGACGUCCGAGUUGUAAUUUGUAGAGGAUGCUUCUGAGUAACCACCGACCUAAGUUCCUUGGAACAGGACGUCAUAGAGGGUGAGAAUCCCGUAUGCGGUCGGAAAGGUGCUCUAUACGUAGCUCCUUCGACGAGUCGAGUUGUUUGGGAAUGCAGCUCUAAAUGGGAGGUAAAUUUCUUCUAAAGCUAAAUAUUGGCCAGAGACCGAUAGCGCACAAGUAGAGUGAUCGAAAGAUGAAAAGCACUUUGGAAAGAGAGUUAAAAAGCACGUGAAAUUGUUAAAAGGGAAGGGAUUGCAACCAGACUUGCUCGCGGUGUUCCGCCGGUCUUCUGACCGGUCUACUCGCCGCGUUGCAGGCCAGCAUCGUCUGGUGCCGCUGGAUAAGACUUGAGGAAUGUAGCUCCCUCGGGAGUGUUAUAGCCUCUUGUGAUGCAGCGAGCGCCGGGCGAGGUCCGCGCUUCGGCUAGGAUGCUGGCGUAAUGGUCGUAAUCCGCCCGUCUUGAAAC
rnacentral:rRNA from 1 species